rnacentral:lncRNA from 1 species
GUGAGGACAGAGACCAGCCCAGAGGAUGUUGGUGGCAUGCACGCAGCUGUUGGAAUUCUUACAGCAAGAGGUGGGAUGACCUCUCAUGCUGCUGUGGUAGCACGUGGUUGGGGAAAAUGUUGUGUCUCAGGAUGCUCAAGCGUUCUCGUAAAUGAUGCUGAGAAGGUGAAUAGAAUUCUUGUUUGCACAUCUUCUUCUUUGUAGAAGGUGACAUGCCAUGUUAAAGUUUGUAACAGGAUUAUGACAUUCUUUGUAGAUGUGCUCCGUCCGCCAUUUUUAAGUUCUUAUUAACGAGAUUUUGAGGAUGUAGAUGUUUCCUUACUUUGCUAUGUCUACAUUUACAGUCUGUAGUGAUUGGAGACAAGGUGAUGCAUGAAGGUGAGUGGCUAUCACUGAAUGGAUCUACUGGUGAAGUCAUCGUGGGGAAGCAGCCACUUUCCCCACCAGUCCUCAGUGGUGAUCUGGGAACCUUCAUGUCCUGGGUAGAUGAAGUUAGGCAACUGAAGGUAAAUUCCUAGAAAUAACAAAUAUGUAAUAUUAGUUAAAACAUGGAUACAAACUGUUGGAAGUAGAAACCAACAAAAAGGGCAUCAGAUUAUUUAUUCAGACAGGCCAAAGCUAGUCAACCCCACUACACAUUUUUCAACAGAAAUGCUUAUUCGUACAUAUGAUCCACCUUCCAGGUUUUGGCUAAUGCGGAUACCCCUGAGGAUGCACUGACAGCAAGAAACAAUGGGGCAGAAGGAAUUGGACUAUGCCGGACGGAGCACAUGGUAUGUAUUUUAGUUACUGUCCAAUAUCUUUUGGGUGGGAUCUUGGAAAACUUACUCUUUCUUGAAUUCCUUCGUCGAACAGUUGGGUAAACUUUAAGGACCUCCCGUUCUAGUCUCAUGUUCUCCUUUUCUGCACUUUGGCAGUUCUUUGCUUCGGAUGAGAGGAUUAAGGCUGUGAGGCAGAUGAUUAUGGCUCCCACACUUGAACUGAGGCAGAAGGCACUAGAUCGUCUUUUGCCUUAUCAGAGGUCUGACUUUGAAGGCAUUUUCCGUGCUAUGGAUGGUAUGUGAAAAUCACGAUGCAUUCAUUUACAUGCUCUCCAAUUGAACUGGAUGCACUAGUGUUACUGAACAUAACAAGAGUAAGCAACCUUCUUAAAUAGACAACAUUGACUACUAAUGUAAAGUGAAAAGGUAGACAAGUUUUAAACCUUAGGAUGCAAAAUACUUCAAAAAUAAGAACGAAAUUGGGCCAGUAACAUAUUGCAUCAAUUAUUUAACUUGGUAACAUAAAGUUCUGCUAUGAUUUAUCCAUUAGUUUUUUUUAAUCUUUUAUAGCGAGUGGUAUAUGUACAUGUUUCAUGGAAACAGAUAUAGAAUUAAACUACUAGAAUAAAUUUUAACAUGUAUUGUAGUUAGUUCCACAGUAUGUAUUUUAAAGUGCGGAAUGGAUUUGAACAUUAUUUUUUUUGCAUUUCAGGGCUUUCAGUGACUAUUCGGCUUCUGGACCCCCCACUUCAUGAGUUUCUUCCUGACGGGAAUGUUGAAGACAUUGUGCGUGAAUUAUGUUCUGAAACUGGAGCCAAUCAGGAGGAAGCCCUUGCAAGAAUUGAAAGUCUUUCAGAAGUAAAUCCAAUGCUUGGUUUCCGUGGGUGCAGGUUGGUUUUUGUGCUCCGUUUAAAUCAGUCACCCCCCCUCCUUGAUCCAUUUGGUUCCCUUGUUAGUGAAAUAUUAAAAAGAAUAAACUCUGUAUAUUUACCUCGACUAAUAUUGGAACUGCUAAAAUUCCAGGCUCGGUAUAUCAUAUCCUGAGCUAACAGAAAUGCAAGCCCGUGCCAUCUUUGAAGCUGCUAUAGCGAUGACCAACCAGGGUGUUCAAGUUUUCCCAGAGAUAAUGGUUCCUCUUGUUGGGACACCUCAGGCAUGCAUCUUUAUUUCCUUAUUUGUGCAUAUGGUAUCUCUGCAGUUCAUGGUGUUCAAAAUGACAAAAUCAAAAUUGAAUAAACAACCAAGUUCUGUACACAUGUAAUUUACGAUUUUAUGCAAACAUCAAGUUGACCUACACCCAAUUUCCCACCAAAUUCAUUUCUUGAAAUUUUCUCUCUCGAAUUCUAAGUUUAUUGCUUUCACUUGAUUUUUCCUUCAGACAUCUGACAUUUGACUUUUGCAGGAACUGGGGAAUCAAGUGGCCCUUAUCCGUGAAACUGCUAACAAAGUUUUCGCUGCUCUGGGUAAAACCAUUGACUACAAAAUUGGAACUAUGAUUGAAAUUCCGAGGGCAGCUCUAGUAGCUGAUGAGGUAGGAAGCAUCUAACUCCCUUCAGAAUAAUCUUAAAUAUUGCUGUUUAGGUUUAGCUUUUAGAUCAUAUUUUUCAUGAAUGGUUUAGUAAUAGAACCCCGGAUUUUUACUCUAAAACAUGUGAAUAGUAACUGAUGGUAUGAAUUUAUUAAGUGCAAAUAAUAAGUUUAUCCUCUAAUUUAAAAAAAAAACUGACAUUCUUGUUUUGGUUUCACAACCUGACAGAUAGCAGAGCAGGCUGAAUUCUUCUCUUUUGGAACGAACGACCUCACACAGAUGACAUUUGGCUACAGCAGGGAUGAUGUGGGGAAGUUUCUUCCCAUUUAUCUGUCUCAGGGUAUCCUCCAACAUGAUCCCUUUGAGGUAAAAUUUUAGCAGCUCUCACCCUUCAGUUUUAGAUGAUAUACCUGCAUUUUCAUCAUCCACUCUUGUUUUUCAAGGAAUAUUUCCAUCAUCCACAGAUGCGAGCAUCUCAUGUCCUCUAGGCAUUUUUCAUGUCCUUGACUUUUGGUUACGUGCAUGCUCUGGUAAAAUUCAACCUAGUAACUUGCCCAUUGAAUGUUGAUAAACAUAUCAGGUGCUGGAUCAGAGGGGAGUGGGCGAGCUGGUUAAGUUUGCUACAGAGAGGGGUCGCAAAGCUAGGCCUAACUUGAAGGUUAGUUUUUGGGACUUGUGGACAUUGGCUCUUUUCCUUAGAAAUCAUGGUUUCAUUGUUUGGUGCUGUCUGCAAACAGGUGGGCAUCUGUGGAGAACACGGUGGGGAGCCUUCGUCAGUUGCAUUCUUUGCAAAGUCGGGGCUGGAUUAUGUUUCUUGCUCGCCUUUCAGGUUGGUCAAGUGAUAAACUCAAGAUACAACUCCCAGAUUCAUAACUGUAGCAAAACCUUAACUACUUUUUAUGAAAUAUCUUGUGCAGGGUUCCCAUCGCCAGGCUAGCUGCAGCUCAGGUGCUCGUCUGAGGGCACCGCCUCAUCGGCAACCGGAUCACCUGCUGUUGGUGCGUCUGGUGAAGAAUACUAAUACAAAGCCAUGGAACGGUGGAACUCUGCUGCCUGGCAAAGGCCGUUGUAUCUUGUAUGAAGUCUCCGUGCGCGUGCGCAUGUAAGACUUAAUGUGUGGUUUUCUGCAUUUUCCCUUGAACUACCAUGGUAAUGUAGUACCAAACAGAGAUGAUGACGAAGAACAAUCGAAUAAAUUAAUUGGCGAUUAC